rnacentral:rRNA from 2 species
CGGCAACAGCUCAAAUUUGAAAUCUGGCCCUUGUGGUCCGAGUUGUAAUUUGUAGAGGAUGCUUUUGGUGAGGUGCCUUCCGAGUGCCCUGGAACGGGACGCCAUAGAGGGUGAGAGCCCCGUCUGGUUGGACACCGAGCCUCUGUAAAGCUCCUUCGACGAGUCGAGUAGUUUGGGAAUGCUGCUCUAAAAUGGGAGGUAUAUGUCUUCUAAAGCUAAAUAUUGGCCAGAGACCGAUAGCGCACAAGUAGAGUGAUCGAAAGAUGAAAAGCACUUUGAAAAGAGGGUUAAAAAGUACGUGAAAUUGUUGAAAGGGAAGCGCUUGUGACCAGACUUGGGCCCGGUCAAUCAUCCAGGGUUCUCCCUGGUGCACUUGGCCGGCCCAGGCCAGCAUCAGUUUGUCGCGGGGGAUAAAGACGUUGGGAAUGUGGCUCCUCCGGGAGUGUUAUAGCCCUUCGUGCAAUACCCUGCUUCGGACUGAGGUUCGCGCAUCUGCAAGGAUGCUGGCGUAAUGGUCAUCAGCGACCCGUCUUGAAACACGGACCAAGGAGUCGUCUUCGUAUGCGAGUGUUCGGGUGUCAAACCCCUACGCGUAAUGAAAGUGAACGCAGGUGAGAGCUUCGGCGCAUCAUCGACCGAUCCUGAUGUUCUCGGAUGGAUUUGAGUAAGAGCAUACGGGGCCGGACCCGAAAGAAGGUGAACUAUGCCUGUAUAGGGUGAAGCCAGAGGAAACUCUGGUGGAGGCUCGCAGCGGUUCUGACGUGCAAAUCGAUCGUCAAAUAUGGGCAUGGGGGGCGAA